rnacentral:lncRNA from 1 species
GCACCGGCAUCGGCUGACACUGCUGCCUCCAGCUAGUUAUUUCGUCCUCUUCCGUUCUUCACCCCUACACCUUGGAGGUGAACUUCUCACCUGAGGGCUGUAAAGACUCGUUUGAAAAUGGAGAGCCAAGAACCAACGGAAUCUUCUCAGAAUGGCAAACAGUAUAUCAUUUCAGAGGAGUUAAUUUCAGAAGGAAAAUGGGUCAAGCUUGAAAAAACAACGUACAUGGAUCCUACUGGUAAAACUAGAACUUGGGAAUCAGUGAAACGUACAACCAGGAAAGAGCAGACUGCGGAUGGUAGGAGUGCAAACCUAUUCCAACCCUUUAGAAAGGAAGUUAGCACUUGUGAUCGUGUCGCGGUCAUCCCCGUGCUGCAGAGAACACUUCACUAUGAGUGUAUCGUUCUGGU